rnacentral:rRNA from 1 species
AUUGAACGCUGGCGGCAGGCCUAACACAUGCAAGUCGAGCGGAUGAGGGAAGCUUGCUUCCUGAUUUAGCGGCGGACGGGUGAGUAAUGCCUAGGAAUCUGCCUAUUAGUGGGGGAUAACGUUCCGAAAGGAACGCUAAUACCGCAUACGUCCUACAGGAGAAAGUGGGGGAUCUUCGGACCUCACGCUAAUAGAUGAGCCUAGGUCGGAUUAGCUAGUUGGUGAGGUAACGGCUCACCAAGGCGACGAUCCGUAGCUGGUCUGAGAGGAUGAUCAGCCACACUGGAACUGAGACACGGUCCAGAAUCCUACGGGAGGCAGCAGUGGGGAAUAUUGGACAAUGGGCGAAAGCCUGAUCCAGCCAUGCCGCGUGUGUGAAGAAGGUCUUCGGAUUGUAAAGCACUUUAAGUUGGGAGGAAGGGCUGUAAGCUAAUAUCUUGCAGCUUUGACGUUACCAACAGAAUAAGCACCGGCUAACUCUGUGCCAGCAGCCGCCGUAAAAC